AUGAAGAACGUAGCGAAAUGCGAUAAGUAAUGUGAAUUGCAGAAUUCAGUGAAUCAUCGAAUCUUUGAACGCACAUUGCGCCCCUUGGUAUUCCAUGGGGCAUGCCUGUUCGAGCGUCAUUUGUACCUUCAAGCUCUGCUUGGUGUUGGGUGUUUGUCUCGCCUCUGCGUGUAGACUCGCCUCAAAACAAUUGGCAGCCGGCGUAUUGAUUUCGGAGCGCAGUACAUCUCGCGCUUUGCACUCAUAACGACGACGUCCAAAAGUACAUUUUUACACUCUUGACCUCGGAUCAGGUAGGGAUACCCGCUGAACUUAAGCAUAUCAAUAAGCGGAGGA
rnacentral:misc_RNA from 1 species